rnacentral:rRNA from 1 species
CGCGUAGGGUGGUUUUGNUAAGUUUNGNUGUGAAAGCCCCGGGCUCAACCUGGGAACUGCNUUCNNNNCUGGCNAGCUAGAGUACGGUAGAGGGUGGUGGAAUUUCCUGUGUAGCGGUGAAAUGCGUANAUAUAGGAAGGAACACCAGNGGCGAAGGCGACCACCUGGACUGAUACUGACACUGAGGUGCGAAAGCGUGGGGAGCAAACAGGAUUAUAUACCCUGGUAGUCCACGCCGUANANNAUGUCAACUAGCCGUUGGAAUCCUUGAGAUUUUAGUGGCGCANCUAACGCAUUAAUUUGACCGCCUGGGGAGUACGGCCGCAAGGUUAAU